CCACCCAGACCUCAUGCUGGACUCGCCGGUCUGCCCAAUGGCACACAUCUCGUUCGCGUGCUCGCCCUAGCCACUUUGCUCUCUUUCCUCGCACACCACCACUGCAGCCACACAGCCCUCGUCGUCGCCUGCCGCAGUGGCCGCCCUGCCCUCGGCCCCGCCGUCCCGCCCGUUGCCCUGGCCUCGCCCCAGCCAUCGCCUUGGCCUCGCCCCCGCCGUCGCUCUCGUUCAGAUCAGGUCCGUGGAGAUUUUGGAGUCCGUCUUACGGCUCUGCAGCUUCGACGCCACUGGCAGUGGUGCCAGCAACAUCUCUGUGGCUGUGCAAGGUGGCUGAGGAAGGGAGGUCAUGCUUUACUGAUCAGAAAUGCAGUGCCAAUCCGCUGGCUCUUCAGAACAUUAAUUGUGAACAAGCUGAUCAAGACUGAGUGAGAAAAUAGUGUUUCCCUGUUAGGAAUUUGGUAGUGAGAAAUGAGAUGAAAUGAUAGAUGCCAGAGUUCUCGUUACCAAUAUACUGUGUCACACAUUGAGCCUUUAUUAGUGCUUAAUCUGUAAGUUUUUGUUUGUGAAAGUGCGGGCGGGCGCACGCCUAAUUCCUGCUUGAGUGUUUUGUACUGUACAUACCGGAACUGAAUGUGUAUGGUGUUACUCUUGUAGCAGAGCACGGUUUUCAUAAGUUAUCCAAUUCUGGGGUUGUCAUAAAAAAA